CGACGCAGCAACGCCGCGUGUGUGAUGAAGGCUUUGGAUUGUAAAGCACUUUCGACCGGGACGAAAACCUGUUGGCUAACAUCCAGCAGCUUGACGGUACCGGGAGAAGAAGCACCGGCUAACUCUGUGCCAGCAGCCGCGGUAAUACAGAGGGUGCAAGCGUUGUUCGGAAUUAUUGGACGUAAAGCGCGUGUAGGCGGCUUUGCAAGUCGGAUGUGAAAGCCCUCGGCUCAACCGAGGAAGUGCGUUCGAAACUGCAGAGCUUGAGUACCGGAGAGGGUGGCGGAAUUCCCCAAGUAGAGGUGAAAUUCGUAGAUAUGGGGAGGAACACCGGUGGCGAAGGCGGCCACCUGGACGGUCACUGACGCUGAGACGCGAAAGCGUGGGUAGCAAACAGGAUUAGAUACCCUGGUAGUCCACGCCGUAAACGAUGAGAACUAGGUGUCGUGGGUGUUGACCCCCGCGGUGCCGUAGCUAACGCAUUAAGUUCUCCGCCUGGGAAGUACGGUCGCAAGACUA
rnacentral:rRNA from 1 species